GAUGAACGCUGGCGGUAUGCUUAACACAUGCAAGUCGAACGGUCACUUCGGUGAUAGUGGCGGACGGGUUAGUAACGCGUGGGAAUCUGUCUUCAGGUCGGGGACAACAGUUAGAAAUGACUGCUAAUACCGGAUGUGCCUUUGGGUGAAAGAUUUAUUGCCUGAAAAAGAUCUCGCGUCAGAUUAGCUAGUAGGUGGUGUAAGAGACUACCUAGGCUCCGAUCUGUAGCUGGUCUGAGAGGACGAUCAGCCACACCGGAACUGAGACACGGUCCAGACUCCUACGGGAGGCGGCAGUGGGGAAUUUUCCGAAAUGGGCGAAAGCCUGAAGGAGCAAUACCGCGUGAGGGACGAAGGCUUUUGGGUCGUAAACCUCUUUUCUCAAGGAAGAUGAUGACGGUACUUGAGGAAUAAGCAUCGGCUAACUCUGUG
rnacentral:rRNA from 1 species